UCCUACGGGAGGCAGCAGUGGGGAGUAUUGGACAAUGGGCGAAAGCCUGAUCCAGCCAUGCCGCGUGUGUGAAGAAGGCCUUUUGGUUGUAAGGCACUUUAAGCGAGGAGGAGGCUACUUAGAUUAAUACUCUAGGAUAGUGGACGUUACUCGCAGAAUAAGCACCGGCUAACUCUGUGCCAGCAGCCGCGGUAAU
rnacentral:rRNA from 1 species